rnacentral:rRNA from 1 species
CCAAUAGCGUAUAUUAAAGUUGUUGCAGUUAAAAAGCUCGUAGUUGAAUUUCGGAGUUUGUCGGUUGGUCGGGCUUCACUGUCCGCACUGGCCUGAUGAAUUCCUACCUUCUGAAUAACCAGCAUGCUAUUAAGUUAGUGCGUUGGGGAAGCAGAGCUAUUACCUUGAAAAAAUUAGAGUGCUUAAAGCAGGCUUGUGCUUGAAUAGAUUAGCAUGGAAUAAUAAAAUAGGACGGCAUGGUUCUAUUUUGUUGGUUUCUAGGAUCACCGUAAUGAUUAAUAGGGAUAGUUGGGGGCAUUAGUAUUCAAUUGUCAGAGGUGAAAUUCUUGGAUUUAUUGAAGACUAACUUCUGCGAAAGCAUUUGCCAAGGAUGUUUUCAUUAAUCAAGAACGAAAGUUAGGGGAUCGAAGACGAUCAGAUACCGUCGUAGUCUUAACCAUAAACUAUGCCGACUAGGGAUCGGACGAUGUUAAUUUUUUAAUGACUCGUUCGGCGCCUUACG